ACAGCGCGGCACCUACAGUAG
rnacentral:misc_RNA from 1 species